UACGUAGGGUGCGAGCGUUGUCCGGAAUUAUUGGGCGUAAAGAGCUCGUAGGCGGCCUGUUACGUCUGCUGUGAAAGCCCGGGGCUCAACUCCGGGUCUGCAGUGGAUACGGGCAGGCUAGAGUCCGGCAGGGGAGACUGGAAUUCCUGGUGUAGCGGUGAAAUGCGCAGAUAUCAGGAGGAACACCGGUGGCGAAGGCGGGUCUCUGGGCCGGUACUGACGCUGAGGUGCGAAAGCGUGGGGAGCAAACAGG
rnacentral:rRNA from 1 species